ACUCAAAUGAAUUGACGGGGGCCCGCACAAGCGGUGGAGCAUGUUGUUUAAUACGUCACUAACCGUAGAACCUUACCAGGGUUUGACAUCCUCUGCACCGGGGUGAAAGCCUCGUCCGAGCAAUCGGCGGAGAGACAGGUGUUGCAUGGCUGUCGUCAGCUCGUGUCGUGAGAUGUUGGGUUAAGUCCCGCAACGAGCGCAACCCUCAUCCCAUGUUGCCAUCGGGUCAUGCCGGGAACUCUUGGGAAACUGCCUGUGUAAGCAGGAGGAAGGUGAGGACGACGUCAAGUCAGCAUGGCCCUUACAUCCUGGGCUACAAACAUGCUACAAUGGACGGUAGACAGAGGGAGCCGAGGCGGCGACGCGGAGGUAAUCUCAAAAAUCCGUUCUCAGUUCGGAUCGCAGGCUGCAACUCGCCUGCGUGAAGUCGGAAUCGCUAGUAACCGCAGGUCAGCGAAACUGCGGUGAAUACGUUCCCGGGCCUUGCACACACCGCCCGU
rnacentral:rRNA from 1 species